UACUAUGAUGAGUUUGUACUGCGUUCUUACUGCAAAGGGUUAACACCCAUUGAAGAGAACCGAUUCACUUUAAUUCACCUUGGAGAACUGAUAU
rnacentral:snoRNA from 1 species